rnacentral:lncRNA from 1 species
GAUCAAUAUAGUUGGGGUGCAGAUACAGGCCUUCCCCUAGGGAAACACUUGCAUCAGUAUUAGUGAGAGACCAAGUACACAUCUGAAGCAUUCCUGUGCUUUCUGUCCACUUGUCAGGUGAUGUUGCCACGUAUGACUGUCCAUCAGCCAGGAGAUGAACCCCCACCCGUGAGGCAGUGACUCAAGGUGCAAGGGAGUCCGGCAAGAAGUGUGGCGCACCCGAGUUGCUGCCACUGCUUUUUGGAUCACCCAGCACGGUGAUGUUGCCACGUAUGACUGUCCAUCAGCCAGGAGAUGAACCCCCACCCGUGAGGCAGUGACUCAAGGUGCAAGGGAGUCCGGCAAGAAGUGUGGCGCACCCGAGUUGCUGCCACUGCUUUUUGGAUCACCCAGCACGUGGCUGAAUUGCAACUCCUGUCACGUGCUUGAGUCUUGGAGGUCGCCAUGGACUAUGCUGUGGUCCUAGGCCUGCAUUCCUCCUGCAGGUUGGCCAGAGGCCCAGAGAAGAAUGUUUGUGCAGGUCUUCUGAAGUCUUCCUGAAAGCAUCCCUGGUGAUCUGUGAGCCCUUGGUCGUGUUGCCCGCCUUCUUCCUGUGGGUCUUGCUGGAUGCUCAUUGUCCCUGUGAGCCGAGGCCCUGGAGGCUUCAGAUUUAGGU